CAGUCUAGACUCUAUGAUGUGUCAAUGUUUAUGGUCUAUAAAGUGUUCUACUUCAAGCCAUUAUGAUAUGCCUGUGUGUGGACUUAAUCAAACUCACAUUCCUCACAAUAACAUUGACACUGGUGUAGAUAUAUUUCUCUUAUGAUUUUCCUGUGCCUGACUCUGCCUUGACUCUCAGGAAUUUUUGCAUUGACCUUACAUCCAACCCACAGUUCAGGUCAAGUUUUUAUAAUUUUGUCUUAACAUCUAAAAACCUUA